CCGGCAGGACGACCUGCCGGCCAUGGGCUUAAGGCCGGGGACGACCCCU
rnacentral:ncRNA from 1 species